rnacentral:rRNA from 1 species
UACGGAGGGUGCAAGCGUUAAUCGGAAUUACUGGGCGUAAAGGGCUCGUAGGCGGCCAACUAAGUCAGACGUGAAAUCCCCAGGCUUAACCUGGGAACUGCGUCUGAUACUGGAUGGCUUGAAUUCGGGAGAGGGAUGCAGAAUUCCAGGUGUAGCGGUGAAAUGCGUAGAUAUCUGGAGGAAUACCGGUGGCGAAGGCGGCAUCCUGGACCGAGAUUGACGCUGAUGAGCGAAAGCUAGGGGAGCAAACGGG